rnacentral:rRNA from 1 species
GACGAACGCUGGCGGCGUGCUUAACACAUGCAAGUCGAACGGAAAGGCCCUGCUUUUGUGGGGUGCUCGAGUGGCGAACGGGUGAGUAACACGUGAGUAACCUGCCCUUGACUUUGGGAUAACUUCAGGAAACUGGGGCUAAUACCGGAUAGGGGCUCCUGCUGCAUGGUGGGGGUUGGAAAGUUUCGGCGGUUGGGGAUGGACUCGCGGCUUAUCAGCUUGUUGGUGGGGUAGUGGCUUACCAAGGCUUUGACGGGUAGCCGGCCUGAGAGGGUGACCGGCCAAAUUGGGACUGGGAUACGGCCCAGAAUCCUACGGGAGGCAGCAGGGGGGAAUAUUGCACAAUGGGCGGAAGCCUGAUGCAGCAACGCCGCGUGCGGGAUGACGGCCUUCGGGUUGUAAACCGCUUUCGCCUGUGACGAAGCGUGAGUGACGGUAAUGGGUAAAGAAGCACCGGCUAACUACGUG